rnacentral:SRP_RNA from 1 species
CGGCUGUAAUGGCCAUCCCGAAAGAAGAUUUUCGCAUCUCCUCUCCAAUUUCCCUUUCCAUCCCAACGGAAAGCGGUGCCCGGUUCGAAUCCUGUGGUCGUCACUUUCCACCAGUGCGGGUAACCCACUGAGCUGGUCGGCGCUAAGGGUGAGAAAUAAUCUUCAGGGAAGCGAUUCUGCAGAGAGUUCUCCCCACAGGGUGGCGGCGCCGGAUUACACUGCGAUCCGGUAUGGGAAGUUGAGGUAGGAAAGAAGUGUCGACUUUCAAACUUUUUUU